UAACAUAUACAUCUUCAGCCCCAACAUUAAUGAAAGCAACUGAUGGAAUAGAACUCUUACCAUCGAUGCUCCUCCAUUGCCGAUUUACAUCCUCACCCUUCUCGUCUCCGAUCUGUCCCUUCCCCCUCAAUCUUCCCACUGUUGAUCUACUUCACUUCACCAUUUUGAGCCCUAAUUUGAGAGAAAAUUCCUAUUUGAAGAGAAAGAAAAAAGGCUCUCUCUCUCUCUCUCUCUCUCUCUCAAAACCACUCUCAAAUCAUCAACUUCCAUCAUCUCUACAAGGCCCUUCGAUUUCCCUCAAAGCCCCUCUCCGACCCCAAUUUACAACGAUUCGGAUGUCAAGCCGAAGCCUCGGAAACAACUCAUCAAGAAGAACACGACGGCUGAGGAGGGCACUCCUGAUUAUCAGGGAAGAGGAUGAUGGGGAAGAAGGGAUUUUGUGAGGGAAAAGUCGGACUACGAUGAUUUCGAGGAUGGAAAGUGGAAGAAGUUUGAGAAAGAUGGUAUUGGUAGUAGUAGGAAGAGGGACAGACAUUGAGAAACACAUGUUCACUCUCUGCCCUCCUUGCUCUCUACCCUAGCUACUCCCUCUUCAGUGCCACCGCCGAAGACACAUGUUCACUCUAUUAUGUUUUUGUUUUUUUCAAACGAGAGUUGGUCCUAGAUUUAUUCAUUUAUUUAUUGUAAGAAACCGAAAUACUCUCAUUUCCUCAAUCCCCUUCAAACUCUCUCUAAUCCUCUCAGAUUUCGACGUUUAUUCUAUUCAAUUUAAUCUAAAUAGAGCUUCAAAAAUCCGAGACCGAAAUGGGAAUUCCAUCGACGAUGAGGGACGCUUGGGCAAACCAAAGAUAUUCGCUUUUGAUUGCUUCACCGACUGAGGAUCAAAAGAUUCUGAAUUCACGCCGGCACACUCAAGAGGGUGUUCGAGCAGGAGUGAAGACAGCUUCCAUUGCUUGUGUUGGCAGUGAUGUGCCUACUGUAUGUGAUCUUUAUCACUACUUUCUGUAUUCACUGUGUAUACAAUUUCUGGAUUUAUUUGGGACAUUUUACUGGUUUAUCAGUACACUUUCAAUGUGGGUAUUUGGCAUUCAUAACUGUUCAAUAACAAGAUUGAUCCACAUAAAAACCACCUAAUGGGUAGGUAUCAUUUGAGAUAGAAAACAAUCACUUGCUUUAGGAGGGCUGAGCGAGAAUUUUUGUUGAGAGAGACAAAGUUAUACACACAACUUUUUCCUAUUUGACAAUCUCAUAUUCAUUAUCUUAAAUGAAGAAAAUCCCAAAUAUAUGUGGCCAAUAUGGAAAUUCCGGGGGAGCAAGAACAAAAUUCCAUACAGGCAAAUCAAGUGGAAAAGUUGAGGAAAUUGAGCUUCCAGUUGCUCAAGUGGAUAUCAUUAUUUCAGAGUGGAUGGGAUAUUUUUUAUUGUUUGAGAAUAUGUUAAAUACUGUCCUCUAUGCUCGUGAUAAGUGACUUGUAAGUUACACUGCCCCUUUUUCUUUCUGAAUAACCACUUUGAUGCUAUUGCUAAUCUGGAUGUAUUAGUGCAAUGUUUGGUGGUGGAGUUAGUUUGUUUUUCUAUUUUUUUUGGUUUGUUUUGUGUUUUUAUUUUUUUUAUUUUUUAUUUAUUUUAUCAUGGAAGAUGUUAUUGGAGUUUAAUUGGUCUCAUCAGCUUGAAUUUAUUAUAAUUCGUUAGUCUUUAUAUUUUGAAAGUUCAACUCUUUGACUGGAUCAGACGCCUUUUCUGGGAUUUUCAGUGCUUUUGUUUAGAAACUUUAUGGUGGUGGAAGCAAAUUGAUUAAUUUAAUUUUUAUUGGAUUUAUAUGCUCAUAAAAGUUUCUAUUUACUUAUAAUGGGUUUUUUGGUUAAAGUCAUUUUAUUCUAAGAGGUCUAUAUUGAGUUGGGUUGUAAUUUUUUUAAGUUACAAUUUGAUUCGUUUGUUUAGGAAUUUUGUCUUGUUGGAGUUAAGUCGUAAAUAGAUUCUACAUCAAGUGGGAAAAUUUAUUUUUUACUCUUUUUGUUCUUCUUUAGGGUUUUCUAGCAUCUUCAUAAUGGAUAUUGGAUGUGAAAUGAGAUUUACGCAAGUCCUCAAUUGUUUUGGCCAAUUGUAGUAGAGUUCAAUGUCAGUUUUGUCUUGGUUAAUGACCGACUGUGGAACAAUGGAAUUGGUUUGAUUUGAGUGUGGUUUUUGGAUGAACCGUUGCUGAGCAUGGCUAUUUGUCACUAAAGAUGACAUCAAAGGCUUAUCUUGCUUCCAGGUUAAUUUGUUUCCUAUCCCAUAUAGUUCUUUCAAGUUUUUCUUUCUUGGUUUUAUGGUGAUGAGGCUAUUUUUAUACCAUUAAAUCAUGGUUGCUGACUUCUAGAAUUGUAUUGUACUUGUUGAGAAUCAAGGUUACUUUUGACUGAUGAUCACUUUGAACUCCAGCAGCUAGCUAAAGAAAUGUGGUAUGGAAAUACCAUGGUUGGUUAGUUCUGUUACAUUUUCUUUUAUGAAUUUCAUAUUGCCUCCAAUCUUAACUAAAUUAACCAAAUGUAUUCACCCUCUGCUUAAUAUGCAGAAAAAGCUUCGGCAGACUCGUGAAUUAUAUGCCUCCUUUAAUGCAAUGUUGGAGAUAAAAGACUUAAUGCUAAUGAAGACUUCUUUGUUAAACUCUAUAAACCCACCAAUUUGUACUCUAUCUUAAUCCCUAUUUCUAGUUUUGCUAGUUACAAUUCUUAUAGUCUAUCCUAGUCCUACUUAAAUCUAAACUUUUAGAUUUUGAAAUAUCUCUCCACAAUUUUAGCUUAAAGUUUUCUCAUUUUCUUGUUUCGUCAACUAAAUUUGUAUUGUCUGCAAAUUUUAUACACUGGAGAUAUCCUCUUUGAAUGCUCUUUUUAAGUUCAUCCAUUACUAUGUAUGUAAGUAUGUUGGAAAUAUUAUAUUUGUGAUAUGAUAUCUAUUAAACUAUAUGACACAAAAUGAGGUUUUUUUCAAAAUGUUUAAUAAGUCUACAUUUUGUAUGUGUGUAGAACAUUUUUAAAGAGGUUAUUGUCAGACGACAACAUUCUUUGUGAAAGCAAUUCACCCAUUGAAGCCACUGAUGUUUGACAAAAUGAAUAUCACAAUCAGCAUUUGCCUGAUAAGACGCGAGGUCUUUCAGAGUCAACUCCAGAAAUCUCAACUUGUGAAAGUGAAUUAUCUUAUUCAAGGUAUACCCCCUCCAUGUCUAGUAGGCAGCUUUUUCUAGAUAUGUAGCAGAACCAAUAUCUGGAAAAUAUCGUGUUUGUUUGGAUGGACAUCGAGAUUCAUUCCACUGCUCAAAUUUUUGGGACGUGAAUUGGCUUUCUUCAUCUAGAAAUUCACGUGAAGAAGAAACUUAUGAAAGAUUCGAGAUUUGAUAUGGACAUGUUUGGUAAUUUGGAGGGCAGACGGUAGCUCAUUUUGUGUUUUUGUUCAUAUUACCUUACAUGUAUUUUGGUUGUGUUGUAAAUUUUAUAUUUUUGUUGGUAUUACAAGGCAUGUUUGGUAAUUCGCCCUUGAUAUUUUAUAUUUUAUUUUUGUUGAUAUUAGUAGAUAUUUGUUGUUGGAUAUUAGGAGAUGUGUUUGGUAAUCCGCAUGCGGUUGAUAUUAUAUUUUUGUGGAUAUUAGUAGA